rnacentral:rRNA from 1 species
AACGAACGCUGGCGGCAUGCCUAACACAUGCAAGUCGAACGAGACCUUCGGGUCUAGUGGCGCACGGGUGCGUAACGCGUGGGAAUCUGCCCUUCGGUUGGGAAUAACUGAGAGAAAUUUCAGCUAAUACCUUAUAAUGUCUUCGGACCAAGGAUUUAUCGCCGAGGGAUGAGCCCGCGUAGGAUUAGGUAGUUGGUGGGGUAAUGGCCUACCAAGCCGACGAUCCUUAGCUGGUCUGAGAGGAUGAUCAGCCACACUGGGACUGAGACACGGCCCAGACUCCUACGGGAGGCAGCAGUGGGGAAUAUUGGACAAUGGGCGAAAGCCUGAUCCAGCAAUGCCGCGUGAGUGAUGAAGGCCUUAGAGUUGUAAAGCUCUUUUACCCGGGAUGAUAAUGACAGUACCGGGAGAAUAAGCUCCGGCUAACUCCGUG